rnacentral:rRNA from 1 species
AGGACGAACGCUGGCGGCGUGCUUAACACAUGCAAGUCGAGCGGAAAGGCCCUUCGGGGUACUCGAGCGGCGAACGGGUGAGUAACACGUGAGCAACCUGCCCUUAGCUCUGGGAUAGCUCCGGGAAACCGGAAUUAAUACCGGAUAUGACCUAGGCCGACAUCGGCCGUGGUGGAAAGUUUUUCGGCUAGGGAUGGACUCGCGGCCUAUCAGCUAGUUGGUGGGGUAAUGGCCUACCAAGGCGACGACGGGUAGCCGGCCUGAGAGGGCGACCGGCCACACUGGGACUGAGACACGGCCCAGACUCCUACGGGAGGCAGCAGUGGGGAAUCUUGCGCAAUGGGCGAAAGCCUGACGCAGCGACGCCGCGUGGGGGAUGAAGGCCUUCGGGUUGUAAACCCCUUUCAGCAGGGACGAAGCGAAAGUGACGGUACCUGCAGAAGAAGCGCCGGCUAACUACGUGCCAGCAGCCGC